GACGAACGCUGGCGGCGUGCUUAACACAUGCAAGUCGAACGGAAAGGCCCUGCUUUUGUGGGGUGCUCGAGUGGCGAACGGGUGAGUAACACGUGAGUAACCUGCCCUUGACUUUGGGAUAACUUCAGGAAACUGGGGCUAAUACCGGAUAGGAGCUCCUGCUGCAUGGUGGGGGUUGGAAAGUUUCGGCGGUUGGGGAUGGACUCGCGGCUUAUCAGCUUGUUGGUGGGGUAGUGGCUUACCAAGGCUUUGACGGGUAGCCGGCCUGAGAGGGUGACCGGCCACAUUGGGACUGAGAUACGGCCCAGACUCCUACGGGAGGCAGCAGUGGGGAAUAUUGCACAAGGGGCGGAAGCCUGAUGCAGCAACGCCGCGUGCGGGAUGACGGCCUUCGGGUUGUAAACCGCUUUCGCCUGUGACGAAGCGUGAGUGACGGUAAUGGGUAAAGAAGCACCGGCUAACUACG
rnacentral:rRNA from 1 species